rnacentral:rRNA from 1 species
GAUGAACGCUAGCGGGAGGCCUAACACAUGCAAGCCGAGCGGUAUUGUUUCUUCGGAAAUGAGAGAGCGGCGUACGGGUGCGUAACACGUGUGCAACCUGCCUUUAUCUGGGGGAUAGCCUUUCGAAAGGAAGAUUAAUACUCCAUAAUAUAUUAAACGGCAUCGUUUAAUAUUGAAAGCUCCGGCGGAUAGAGAUGGGCACGCGCAAGAUUAGCUAGUUGGUGAGGUAACGGCUCACCAAGGCGAUGAUCUUUAGGGGGCCUGAGAGGGUGAUCCCCCACACUGGUACUGAGACACGGACCAGACUCCUACGGGAGGCAGCAGUGAGGAAUAUUGGUCAAUGGGUGCAAGCCUGAACCAGCCAUCCCGCGUGAAGGACGACUGCCCUAUGGGUUGUAAACUUCUUUUGUAUAGGGAUAAACCUACCCUCGAGAGGGUAGCUGAAGGUACUAUACGAAUAAGCACCGGCUAACUCCGUG